rnacentral:tRNA from 1 species
UGCUCUCAUCGGCUAGAGGCCUAGGCCACGACCCUUUCAAGGUCGCUACGCGGGUUCGAAUCCCGCUGAGAGCAUCC